AGAGUUUGAUCAUGGCUCAGGACAAACGCUGCGGAAUGUAUUAGCAUGCAAGUCGCACGGGCUUCGGGCUAGUGGCGGACGGGAGUAACACGUGGGUACCUGCCUCGUAGUGGGGAAUAACUCGCCGAAAGGCGAGCUAAUACCGCAUAACACCCCUGGUGAGAUUCCGGGUGGUAAAAGCUCCGGCGCUAUGAGAGGGGCCCGCGGCCGAUUAGCUUGUUGGUGGGGUAAUGGCCUACCAAGGCGACGAUCGGUAGCUGGUCUGAGAGGAUGGUCAGCCACACGGGGACUGAGAUACGGCCCCGACUCUACGGGAGGCAGCAGCUAAGAAUCUUGCGCAAUGGGCGAAAGCCUGACGCAGCAAUUCCGCGUGGGGGACGAAGGCCCUCGGGUCGUAAACCCCUUUUGCGAGGGAAGAAGUUCUGACGGUACCUCGCGAAUAAGCCACGGCUAACUACGUGCCAGCAGCCGCGGUAAUACGUAGGUGGCAAGCGUUGUCCGGAUUUAUUGGGCGUAAAGCGCCCGCAGGCGGCUCGAUAAGUUUCAGGUGAAAUCUCCCGGCUCAACCGGGAGGGUGCCUGGAAAACUAUUGGGCUUGAGGCAGGGAGAGGGAUGUGGAAUUCCCGGUGUAGUGGUGAAAUGCGUAGAUAUCGGGAGGAACACCAGUGGCGAAGGCGGCAUCCUGGCCCUGUCCUGACGCUCAGGGGCGAAAGCGUGGGGAGCAAACCGGAUUAGAUACCCUAGUAGUCC
rnacentral:rRNA from 1 species